UGAAGUAAAAAGUCGUAACAAGGUCUCCGUUGGUGAACCAGCGGAGGGAUCAUUACCGAGUUUACAACUCCCAAACCCCUGUGAACAUACCAAUUGUUGCCUCGGCGGAUCAGCCCGCUCCCGGUAAAACGGGACGGCCCGCCAGAGGACCCCUAAACUCUGUUUCUAUAUGUAACUUCUGAGUAAAACCAUAAAUAAAUCAAAACUUUCAACAACGGAUCUCUUGGUUCUGGCAUCGAUGAAGAACGCAGCAAAAUGCGAUAAGUAAUGUGAAUUGCAGAAUUCAGUGAAUCAUCGAAUCUUUGAACGCACAUUGCGCCCGCCAGUAUUCUGGCGGGCAUGCCUGUUCGAGCGUCAUUUCAACCCUCAAGCCCUCGGGUUUGGUGUUGGGGAUCGGCGAGCCCUUGCGGCAAGCCGGCCCCGAAAUCUAGUGGCGGUCUCGCUGCAGCUUCCAUUGCGUAGUAGUAAAACCCUCGCAACUGGUACGCGGCGCGGCCAAGCCGUUAAACCCCCAACUUCUGAAUGUUGACCUCGGAUCAGGUAGGAAUACCCGCUGAACUUAAGCAUAUCAAUAAGCGGAGGAA
rnacentral:rRNA from 1 species